rnacentral:misc_RNA from 1 species
CAUUAUCACCAAUCAAGCCUGGCUUGCUGUUGGAUCUCUUGUCGUUAAUAGACAGGUCCCAAAGAUAAUGACGGUGUCAGUUGGACCCUAGAUGCAACGAGCUCUCAUCAGCACGCAUAUUAGUGGCCUUUUGACCCGGUCUUUUUAACCCAAUCUUUAAGGUUGACCUCGGAUCAGGUAGGAAUACCCGCUGAACUUAA